rnacentral:rRNA from 1 species
AGAGUUUGAUCCUGGCUCAGGACGAACGCUGGCGGCGUGCCUAAUACAUGCAAGUCGAACGCACUCUCGUUAGAUUGAAGAAGCUUGCUUCUGAUUGAUAACAUUUGAGUGAGUGGCGGACGGGUGAGUAACACGUGGGUAACCUGCCCUAAAGUGGGGGAUAACAUUUGGAAACAGAUGCUAAUACCGCAUAAAACCUAGCACCGCAUGGUGCAAGGUUGAAAGAUGGUUUCGGCUAUCACUUUAGGAUGGACCCGCGGUGCAUUAGUUAGUUGGUGAGGUAAAGGCUCACCAAGACCGUGAUGCAUAGCCGACCUGAGAGGGUAAUCGGCCACACUGGGACUGAGACACGGCCCAGACUCCUACGGGAGGCAGCAGUAGGGAAUCUUCCACAAUGGACGAAAGUCUGAUGGAGCAACGCCGCGUGAGUGAAGAAGGUUUUCGGAUCGUAAAACUCUGUUGUUGGAGAAGAAUGUAUCUGAUAGUAACUGAUCAGGUAGUGACGGUAUCCAACCAGAAAGCCACGGCUAACUACGUGCCAGCAGCCGCGGUAAUACGUAGGUGGCAAGCGUUGUCC